rnacentral:rRNA from 1 species
GGAUUCCCCUAGUAACUGCGAGUGAAGCGGGAAAAGCUCAAAUUUAAAAUCUGUCAGUCUUUGGCUGUCCGAGUUGUAAUCUAGAGAAGUGUUAUCCGCGCUGGACCGUGUACAAGUCUCCUGGAAUGGAGCGUCAUAGAGGGUGAGAAUCCCGUCUUUGACACGGACUGCCAGGGCUUUUGUGGUGCGCUCUCAAAGAGUCGAGUUGUUUGGGAAUGCAGCUCAAAAUGGGUGGUAAAUUCCAUCUAAAGCUAAAUAUUGGCGAGAGACCGAUAGCGAACAAGUACCGUGAGGGAAAGAUGAAAAGAACUUUGGAAAGAGAGUUAAACAGUACGUGAAAUUGCUGAAAGGGAAACGCUUGAAGUCAGUCGCGUUGGCCAGGGAUCAACCUUGCUUUUGCUUGGUGUACUUUCUGGUUGAUGGGUCAGCAUCAAUUUUGACUGUUGGAAAAAGAUCAAGGGAAUGUGGCAUCUUUUGGAUGUGUUAUAGCCCUUGGUUGUAUACAAUGGUUGGGAUUGAGGAACUCAGCACGCCGCAAGGCCGGGUUUUUAAACCACGUACGUGCUUAGGAUGCUGGCAUAAUGGCUUUAAUCGACCCGUCUUGAAACACGGACCAAGGAGUCUAACAUGCCUGCGAGUGUUUGGGUGGAAAACCCGAGCGCGUAAUGAAAGUGAAAGUUGAGAUCCCUGUCGUGGGGAGCAUCGACGCCCGGACCAGACCUUUUGUGACGGUUCCGCGGUAGAGCAUGUAUGUUGGGACCCGAAAGAUGGUGAACUAUGCCUGAAUAGGGUGAAGCCAGAGGAAACUCUGGUGGAGGCUCGUAGCGAUUCUGACGUGCAAAUCGAUCGUCAAAUUUGGGUAUAGGGGCGAAAGACUAAUCGA